UAGGAACUUGUUUUCGCUAUAAUAAUUAUACAACUUUCAGCAACGGAUCUCUUGGCUCUCGCAUCGAUGAAGAACGCAGCGAAAUGCGAUAAGUAAUGUGAAUUGCAGAAUUCAGUGAAUCAUCUGAAUCUUUGAACGCACCUUGCGCUCCUUGGUAUUCCGAGGAGCAUGCCUGUUUGAGUGUCAUUAAAUUCUCAACCUUCCAGCUUUUAUUGGCUUGGUUAGGCUUGGAUGUGGGGGUUGCGGGCUUCAUUAAUGAGGUCGGCUCUCCUUAAAUGGAUUAGCGGAACUUUUGUGGACCGUCUAUUGGUGUGAUAAUUAUCUACGCCGUGGAUGUGAAGCAGCUUUAUGAAGUUCAGCUUCUAAUCGUUCAUUGACUUGGACAAUUUUGACAAUUUGACCUCAAAUCAGGUAGGACUACCCGCUGAACUUAAGCAUAUCAAUAAGCGGAGGAAAAGAAACUAACAAGGAUUCCCCUAGUAACUGCGAGUGAAGCGGGAAAAGCUCAAAUUUAAAAUCUGCAGUCUUUGCUG
rnacentral:rRNA from 1 species